CUGUGUAUUUCAUUUAUUUAAGAUUCAAGAAAAUGCAAAAUAGUCUCUAUUGACAGAAAGUGGUUGCUUCGGUAUGAAGUUGGAAAGAGAGAUGGAUUACAAGGGCACAAGAAAACUUUUGGGAAUGACGGAAGAUUAUUUUUAUUGUAGUAAUGGUUUAAUGGGUAUACAUAUAUGUCAAAACUGAUCAAACCAAACUUACAGCUUUAUAUAUGUGCAGCGUAGAGGUCUUCAAUUACAAGUGAAUAAACAUUUUUUAAAAUGGUGAUAAAAAUAACAUCUUCAGCCUGUUGUAGGGAUUCAUUGAAUAUGUUAAGCACUUUAUCAUAAUACCUGGCUCCCUGAGUUUGAUGCCACUGACACUUAGAUAUCAAACUCAACCUCUCUACCAAGCUUUUCAUCCAAAGUGACUAGGGGUAAAGACUGUUUAAGACUAUACAGAAAGAUCAUGUAUCUGAGGAAUUAAAAAUAAGCCAUACGAUUAGGCAAUGUGUCACUCAAUAAACUCAAUAAACUAUUAUUAUCAAGGCAAAAUAUAUAUACACAAAAAGUAAGAACUGGGUUCAAAAAAAUUUUUUUCUAUGGACUUCUAACGUGGUAACUCAUGACACAGGGGUUAGGAUCUUCAGUUUUCCUUUGGAAGUUAAUAAAAACCACUAUAGAGAAAAACAAGAUUUACUACUAAGAAGGUGAAAACUGCUUCUCCUCUUAGGGUUCUAGUUCUCUUGCAACCUAAAACAAAGGAACUGGACAGGAUUACCACUUUUGUACUGUACAGCUCUAAACAUUAAUCAGUCACUCAAUUCAUUAUUUAUUUUUUUCUGUUUCCUUGUAUUCUGUCAUACAACUGUCUCUUGGUUUACCUACUUUUCUGCUUGUCUUCUCUCUCUCCUCCUGGUUUAUUUUCAUCCAGAUGGGAUUUUCCCCAAAGUUUCCAUCGUCAUUCUUUUCUUCUCCUCUGUGUAUGCGCCACUGAAGUUAAGAUUGCAACGUUCAAACUCCCCACACAUUCACACCCCCAUUCCCAUUUCACAGCAGAUGUUAUCUCAAUCUUACGGUUGAAUAAAUUUAAGAUCUCUGGCUGGACACUAGAGGCUGGCGAAGGACGUGACCUUUGAUCAGAAUCUCCCGGAGGAGUGGGGUCCCUGACCAUUGUCCCUUCCAGAGAACCUUAAAACAGACGCCAGGAGACCCUCUCGGAUACUCUGCAGGAGUCAAGAGUCACGAUAUUAGCAAGCACAUCGCAGCCAUGCGAACCCUUUCUGGUUCAGCUCUCGACAAAAGAAAUCAAGCCCCCAGUCAAAAUACAACAACAACGGAUUAAGCCUACCACCCUCUCCCCCGGCCCCCAAAUUCUCAGGGGAAAUCCCCUAAGAGUCAGGUAGGGAGGUCACUGCAGCGACUUCAGGUGCAGAGAACGCGGGGAACUAGGAAGAGGACGCUCCAGCCC
rnacentral:lncRNA from 1 species